rnacentral:rRNA from 1 species
CGCGGCCUAUCAGCUUGUUGGUGGGGUAAUGGCCUACCAAGGCGACGACGGGUAGCCGGCCUGAGAGGGCGACCGGCCACACUGGGACUGAGACACGGCCCAGACUCCUACGGGAGGCAGCAGUGGGGAAUAUUGCGCAAUGGGCGAAAGCCUGACGCAGCGACGCCGCGUGAGGGACGACGGCCUUCGGGUUGUAAACCUCUUUCAGCAGGGACGAAGCGAAAGUGACGGUACCUGCAGAAGAAGCACCGGCCAACUACGUGCCAGCAGCCGCGGUAAUACGUAGGGUGCAAGCGUUGUCCGGAAUUAUUGGGCGUAAAGAGCUCGUAGGCGGUCUGUCACGUCGGAUGUGAAAACUCGGGGCUCAACUCCGAGCCUGCAUUCGAUACGGGCAGACUUGAGUUCGGCAGGGGAGACUGGAAUUCCUGGUGUAGCGGUGAAAUGCGCAGAUAUCAGGAGGAACACCGGUGGCGAAGGCGGGUCUCUGGGCCGAUACUGACGCUGAGGAGCGAAAGCGUGGGGAGCGAACAGGAUUAGAUACCCUGGUAGUCCACGCCGUAAACGGUGGGUGCUAGGUGUGGGGAACUUUCCACGUUCUCCGUGCCGCAGCUAACGCAUUAAGCACCCCGCCUGGGGAGUACGG